AGAUUGUGGGCCAGCCUCCAUCUACACAGAGAACUCUUGGCUCCAAAGGAGACGGGAGGGACCAGAUGCACACCCAGAACUCUCAACUAUUGGGGCCACAGUGCUAACAAGAACAAAACUAAUAGAGUAGUUAAUACAAAAUACAAUACAAAAAUCAACCCAGGAAGAAGCAGCUGCUGACAGAAUGGCCUGCCUAGAGUGGUCUGGGAGGUCACUUUGAAAGUGGAGGGCAGACGGCCCAAGUGGCAUGAGCCUGUAGCCCCAAAGCUAUGCUGCUGUCAGCUCCUGAGGGGCCUGGAAAGGCUCAUGAGAAGGGCCUUAGACUGAACAGGCACCCCAGGAAUGAGGAGCUGUCAGGAUCUCCUGUCCCUGUGUGGCUGCAGAUGCACCGGCCCUCCUUGCCUACUCCCAGAGUCAGUGGCCUGUACCGUUGCUGUACUUCCAACUGGGAUCCUUCCCCCGUCCAGCCAUGUACAGGCUAUGGUACUACGUGGAGCCCUGCUCCCAGGGCAUGGGCAGAGCAGGUGCCUGUGCUGCACCUUCUCAGCCAGCCAAGCAUUUUGUAUUUAUCCUUUGGUGAAGAAGGACGGUACCAUCUUUCAGGGGUGAUGGCACAGUGCAGAGAUGGAACAGACCGUUGCUGCUAGGAGGCUACCCUGGAAGAGGCAGCAGCAGCAGCUCAGAUGUUCCUGACUGAUCAGAGGUUCCAUCUCUAGGCAGUGGCGGCCCAGGGAGCAGAGCGUGGAGCUGCCCCAGGUCACUUUGCCACUAAGUCCCUCCCUAGUGAAUCCCAGAGACAAGUCUCAGCUUCCUGGAGUUUGCACUGCCCGGCCUGCAGCCCUGCUUGUUUGCCUGACCUCUUCCUCCCCGGGCAGCCAGCCAGAGCGGCUCCUACUUCACAGGCUCAGCCACCAUCUUCGGGCUGCCCAUGAUGCGUCUGACACCAGAGUCUAGGUCUCCUCUUACAUCUUUGGGCAGCUUCUCGAAUCCAGCCCUCUUCCUCCCUCCCACCCAUGAGGGAAGUAGCGAAACCCCACAGCUGGUCAAGCUUGAAGAGCCGUGCCUGCUGCACACACUCGCCACAGCCUGAGCGCCAGUCGAGGUCAAAAGCCUGGCUGUGCUUCAUCCUGAGAGUCUGUUUUGAGAGUUUAAAUGGGAUAACCUACAGUAAAGAACUUAAAAAUCAUAAUGCUCUAGCCUUGGAAGGUUGUUACACCUGAGUUAUGAACAUAUUAUUCACUCAAUGCUUCCAAAGUAUGAAUUAAGCUGAGGCUACAAUGGGGAAUGAGGACGGCCCCCGCCCCCAUGAAGCCUGUGUCCCAUUGGGACAGGCAGGUGGCCAGGCAGUCGCAGCAUGGUGUGUCCAGGUUUGAUUGGUGGAGCCAUGUUUCUAUCACUCAGCCAAAAACCAAAGUGAGACUCACGGUCUCAGAUGCUUUUUGGAUAAAGAUGGAGUAGAAAUAAAUUUCAGUAAAUAAGUUAAUGGAAA